rnacentral:lncRNA from 1 species
GUUAUAGGAAAUCUAUAUUUGUAGCAACAUUUUAAAAAUAUAUAUGUAUAAUUCCAUCUAGUAACAACUUCGUCUGGCAUGAAUCUAGGUGUAAGUUUAUACUGCAUACACUUUGUUUUAAUUUCUUUUAUUCUAGAUUGUCAAUUAUUUCCCUGAAUAACACCAACUGCUCUUCUAACAUGAGUAAUCUCAACUGAAAAUAAAUCAAGGCCACUUUUAACAAUUAAAUUAUAAACAUGACAUGCA